rnacentral:rRNA from 1 species
UACAGGAUGAACGCUAGCGGCAGGCUUAACACAUGCAAGUCGAGGGGCAUCGGGAGUAGCAAUACUUGCCGGCGACCGGCGCAAGGGUGCGUAACGCGUGAGCAACAUGCCCGUAUCAGGGGGAUAAUCCAUGGAAACGUGGUCUAAUACCCCAUAGUAAUUAUGUAAGGCAUCUUAUAUAAUUUAAAGCUUUGGUGGAUACGGAUUGGCUCGCGUGACAUUAGCUGGAUGGUAAGGUAACGGCUUACCAUGGCUACGAUGUCUAGGGGUUCUGAGAGGAAGGUCCCCCACGCUGGAACUGAGACACGGUCCAGACUCCUACGGGAGGCAGCAGUGAGGAAUAUUGGACAAUGGAUGGAAAUCUGAUCCAGCCAUGCCGCGUGCAAGGAAGACGGCCCUAUGGGUUGUAAACUGCUUUUGUAUGGGAGCAAUAAGGGCUACGUGUAGUCCGAUGAGAGUACCAUACGAAUAAGCACCGGCUAACUCCGUGCCAGCAGCGGC